CAGCCGCCGCGGUAAUACGUAGGGUGCGAGCGUUGAUCGGAUUUACUGGGCGUAAAGCGUGCGCAGGCGGCCCGUUAAGACAGGUGUGAAAUCCCUGGGCUCAACCUAGGAAUUGCGCUUGUGACUGGCGGGCUCGAGUACGGUAGAGGGGGGUGGAAUUCCUGGGGUAGCAGUGACAUGCGUAGAGAUCAGGAGGAACACCGAUGGCGAAGGCAGCCCCCUGGGCCUGUACUGACGCUCAUGCACGAAAGCGUGGGGAGCAAACAGGAUUAGAGACCCCGGUAGUCCACGCCCUAAACGAUGGGUAGUAGCCGUUUGGUGCGCGAUAGCGCUGAGUGGCGAAGCUAACGCGUGAAGUGCCCCGCCUGGGGAGUACGGCCGCAAGGUUGAAACUUAAAGGAAUAGGCGGG
rnacentral:rRNA from 1 species